UGGGGAGCUCCUGGUGACCUGGGCACUUUCUCCUUCAUGUCCCUGACCUGGCAGGAGCCGCUUUAGGAUCCCAAAGGAGCAAGAGGGACCAGGAAGUGCUGCUGAUCUGGACAGACCCCUUUGCCUGCUGCUGCCCCACAGGAAACAGGGAGCUGCUGAGGAGCCACAUGGUCCAUCCCUGGAUUCUCCAAGCACUGACUGCCCAUCCACUCUGACCACAGCCAGGGCCACAUCCCACUGCCUGCCCAGCGUCCAUCCAUGGAGGAGCCGCUUUAGGACAUGGAUCCCAAAGGAGCAAGAGGGACCAGGAAGCGCCGCUGAUCUGCACAGAGCCCUUUGCCUGCUGCUGCCCCACAGGGAACAGG